rnacentral:lncRNA from 1 species
UUGCCCACUGGAAAUGUCUGGACUUGAAUUAUGGUUAUGUAUGCAAGUAUUUCAUAGGCAUGUGUAUGGCCUUAUAUUUAUAGAUUAAUAAGUAGCAACUUUAAAGACAAAUUUGCCAGUAUCUAGUCAUUGUUCCUAGUUUCAUAAUUGUCUGACAGGGCAUAAUAAUGCAAAGUAAACGGCAUUGGGAUUUGGAUUCCUACUGGACUGUAACCUACAAAUAAGCUGCUAUUCUCUCCGUGCACUAACCUCUUGAUUCAUCCAAUAAAAAGGAAUUAAAUCGGAUGGCAGAUGCCAUCAUUUUUGUAUGGACAGGGGAAGAAGUUGAGAUAUUUAGCUAAUGGGUGAGAUAAUGAAAAUAAAAUCCAAGAAGAAUCAUUUGCCAUUAAGGCUCAUUGGAGGGGGGUAGGGAUGGAGUUUAGAACCAGAGGAUGAGAAAAUCGAAUUGGACUCUUUGAAGAGCUCAGAUUUCACUUACAGUCUCCCGAACAAGGAAAUCUAAGACUGGCCCGGGAUUGGAGUGGGGGUGGGAGUACUGUAUUUUAAAAAUACCCUGUGCCUGCAUUCAUAGGAACAAGAGGAUGGGAUGAAGGGUUUAGUAGUUAUUUGUAAAUGAAGAUUAAAUGCUGCUUAAAAAUCAUGACGUUUGCACGCUUCAGGCAGCAGUUUCCAGUGGAAGAUUGUGAGGGUCGGAAUCUUCAAACCGGUUAUCACCGGCCUUUUACAGAAACUUAUGGGACAGAAGAGCGGUUUGGGGUUAGUGAACCGACAAGUGUUUACUGAGGGCAAAGGGUGUGCGGCACUGGAUGAUUUCAGUUCACAUUUUGGACAACCAGGUCGGCUUUUGUGGAAGUUUCUUUCUUUUCUUAGAACCCUGAGCGUUUCCUUUGGGGAGGGAAGAUCGCAGUUUGUGACGUCACGGCUGAGGGAAGCGAGGACUCUACUCACCUCUGCCGCCCCAGACCCUGAAGUGGAGAGGGAGGGCAGCUGGGCUUGCAAUUCAGCCCCGUGCAAGCGAUCAUUUUCGCGGGCAAACACUUCCUUAAGCGUGCUUAAGGAUUAACAUCUGUGCCCUUCAAGAUGGCUGAAGCAAAAAUGCCCAUACCAGAUGGUCCAGGAGAAAUGAUUUCUUGAUAUCUAAGACAAGGACUGGAGAAAAGGAAGAGCUUCAAAAGGCUGUCAUUUUUUUAUAAAUUUAAAAAAACUGACAAAGAUAAAAUGUUUCUAUAAUAAUGAAACUGAAUCUAAGUGAAAUGUGCAAUCUAAAAAUAUAUCUGGACUAUGCAUAAAGUAAGCGGCUAUGCUUAAAGGGCAUAAGAAUACCUAUCUUUUAUUGAAAUUCCCAGUGUUUUCUUAAGGACUUCAAAUGAAUCCUUACAAAUUAAGAACAG